ACUCCUACGGGAGGCUGCAGUCGAGAAUCUUCCGCAAUGGACGAAAGUCUGACGGAGCGACGCCGCGUGGAGGACGAAGGCCUUCGGGUUGUAACUCCUGUCACGAGUUAAGAAGUGUAUGCCAUUAAUACCGGCAUGCAUUGACGAAGGCUCGAGAGGAAGCACUGGCUAACUCUGUGCCAGCAGCCGCGGUAAUACAGAGAGUGCGAACGUUGUUCGGAAUUACUGGGCUUAAAGCGUACGUAGGCGGCGUAACAAGUGUCGGGUGAAAGCCCACGGCUCACCCGUGGAAUUGCCUGGCAAACUGUUAUGCUAGAGUGUGGUAGGGAGAACAGAACUCAUGGUGGAGCGGUGAAAUGCGUAGAUAUCAUGAGGAAUACCGGUGGCGAAGGCGGUUCUCUGGUCCACAACUGACGCUGAGGUACGAAAGCUAGGGUAGCGAACGGGAUUAGAUACCCCUGGUAGCGACUGA
rnacentral:rRNA from 1 species